UGAACGCUGGCGGCGUGCCUAAUACAUGCAAGUCGAGCGAACAGACGAGGAGCUUGCUCCUCUGACGUUAGCGGCGGACGGGUGAGUAACACGUGGAUAACCUACCUAUAAGACUGGGAUAACUUCGGGAAACCGGAGCUAAUACCGGAUAAUAUAUUGAACCGCAUGGUUCAAUAGUGAAAGACGGUUUUGCUGUCACUUAUAGAUGGAUCCGCGCCGCAUUAGCUAGUUGGUAAGGUAACGGCUUACCAAGGCAACGAUGCGUAGCCGACCUGAGAGGGUGAUCGGCCACACUGGAACUGAGACACGGUCCAGACUCCUACGGGAGGCAGCAGUAGGGAAUCUUCCGCAAUGGGCGAAAGCUUGACGGAGCAACGCCGCAUGAGUGAUGAAGGUCUUCGGAUCGUAAAACUCUGUUAUUAGGGAAGAACAAAUGUGUAAGUAACUAUGCACGUCUUGACGGUACCUAAUCAGAAAGCCACGGCUAACUACGUG
rnacentral:rRNA from 1 species